rnacentral:rRNA from 1 species
UGGGGAAUAUUGGACAAUGGGGGGAACCCUGAUCCAGCCAUGCCGCGUGUGUGAAGAAGGCCUUAUGGUUGUAAAGCACUUUAAGCGAGGAGGAGGGUACUGGUAUUAAUACUACCAGCUACUGGACGUUACUCGCAGAAUAAGCACCGGCUAACUCUGUGCCAGCAGCCGCGGUAAUACAGAGGGUGCGAGCGUUAAUCGGAUUUACUGGGCGUAAAGCGUGCGUAGGCGGCUAAUUGAGUCGGAUGUGAAAUCCCUGAGCUUAACUUAGGAAGUGCAUUCGAUACUGGUCAGCUAGAGUAUGGGAGAGGAUGGUAGAAUUCCAGGUGUAGCGGUGAAAUGCGUAGAGAUCUGGAGGAAUACCGAUGGCGAAGGCAGCCAUCUGGCCUAAUACUGACGCUGAGGUACGAAAGCAUGGGGAGCAAACAGG